UAACGCGAAGAACCUUACCUACACUUGACAUCCUCGGAACUUUCUAGAGAUAGAUUGGUGCCUUCGGGAACCGAGUGACAGGUGCUGCAUGGCCGUCGUCAGCUCGUGUCGUGAGAUGUUGGGUUAAGUCCCGUAACGAGCGCAACCCUUAUCCUUAAUUGCCAGCGGUUCGGCCGGGAACUCUAAGGAGACUGCCGAUGACAAAUCGGAGGAAGGUGGGGACGACGUCAAGUCAUCAUGGCCCUUACGUGUAGGGCUACACACGUGCUACAAUGGCCGGUACAAACGGUUGCGAACCCGCGAGGGGGAGCUAAUCUGAGAAAGCCGGUCGUAGUCCGGAUUGGGGUCUGCAACUCGACCCCAUGAAGUCGGAAUCGCUAGUAAUCGUGAAUCAGAAUGUCACGGUGAAUACGUUCCCGGGUCUUGUACACACCG
rnacentral:rRNA from 1 species